rnacentral:rRNA from 1 species
UACGUAGGGGGCAAGCGUUGUCCGGAAUUAUUGGGCGUAAAGCGCGCGCAGGCGGUUCUUUAAGUCUGAUGUGAAAGCCCACGGCUCAACCGUGGAGGGUCAUUGGAAACUGGAGAACUUGAGUACAGAAGAGGAAAGCGGAAUUCCACGUGUAGCGGUGAAAUGCGUAGAGAUGUGGAGGAACACCAGUGGCGAAGGCGGCUUUCUGGUCUGUAACUGACGCUGAGGCGCGAAAGCGUGGGGAGCAAACAGG